rnacentral:rRNA from 1 species
UGCCAGCGCCGCGGUAAUACGGAGGGGGCGAGCGUUAUCUGGAAUAAUUGGGCGUAAAGUGUUCGUAGGCUGCAUUUGGCUGUUGAGUGUUAAAGACCAAAGCUUAACUUUGGAUGUGCACUUAAAACGUUUAUACUGGAGUACGGUAUAGGACAAUGGAAUUUUACAAGGAGGGGUGAAAUCCGUAGAACUGUAAAGGAACGCCAAAAGCGAAGGCAAUUGUCUGGGCCGUUACUGACGCUGAGGAACGAAAGCGUGGGUAUCCAACAGGAUUAGAUA